rnacentral:rRNA from 1 species
CAGAGGGUGCGAGCGUUAAUCGGAAUUACUGGGCGUAAAGCGCACGUAGUCGGCUUUGCAAGUCGGGUGUGAAAUCCCCGGGCUCAACCUGGGAACUGCAUCCGAGACUGCAUUGCUAGAGUAUGGGAGAGGGAAGCGGUAUUUCUGGUGUAGCAGUGAAAUGCGUAGAUAUCAGAAGGAACAUCAGUGGCGAAGGCGGCUUCCUGGACCAAUACUGACGAUCAGGUGCGAAAGCGUGGGGAGCAAACAGGAUUAGAUACCCUGGUAGUCCACGCCCUAAACGAUGAGAACUGGAUGUCGGGAGGGUUUGCCUUCCGGUGUCGUAGCUAACGCGUUAAGUUCUCCGCCUGGGAAGUACGGCCGCAAGGUUG